GGAGCGCCAGGGGAGCCAGGCCUGUCUAUCAUUGGGCCACGAGGACCUCCUGGACAGCCAGGAACAAGAGGCUUCCCAGGCUUCCCGGGUCCGAUUGGGUUGGAUGGCAAGCCCGGACAGAACGGCUUGAAAGGAGACUUGGGUCAACGUGGUCCUAAAGGAGUUGCAGGUGAACCUGGUCUGAAAGGGGAAAAGAGCGUAUGUGGAGACUACAUUCACAGGG